UAGAGUUUGAUCCUGGCUCAGAACGAACGCUGGCGGCGUGCUUAACACAUGCAAGUCGAGUGCGCGCCUGUAGCAAUACAGGUGGCGCACGGCGCACGGGUGCGUAACACGUGGGUAAUCUGCCCUCUGAUGGGGAAUAACUCGCCGAAAGGCGAGCUAAUUCCGCAUAAUAUUCCGAGAACCUCGGUUUUUGGACUGAAAGGCGUAAGUCGUCGGAGGAGGAGCCCGCGCACGAUUAGCUAGUUGGUAGGGUAAUGGCCUACCAAGGCUUUGAUCGUUAGCUGGUCUGAGAGGAUGGCCAGCCACACUGGAACUGAGACACGGUCCAGACUCCUACGGGAGGCAGCAGUGGGGAAUCUUGCACAAUGGGCGAAAGCCUGAUGCAGCGACGCCGCGUGGGGGAUGAAGCUUUUCGGAGUGUAAACCCCUUUCGAUCCGGACGAAUGCCCGCAAGGGAUUGACGGUACGGAUAUAAGAAGCCCCGGCUAACUACGUGCCAGCAGCCGCGGUAAUACGUAGGGGGCCAGCGUUGUUCGGAAUUACUGGGUGUAAAGGGUUCGUAGGCGGUGCGGCAAGUUGGGAGUGAAAUCUCUGGGCUCAACCCAGAGCCGGCUUCCAAAACUGCUGUGCUUGAGUGUGAGGGAGGCUCGUGGAAUUGCAGGUGUAGCGGUGAAAUGCGUAGAUAUCUGCAGGAACACCCGUGGCGAAAGCGGCGAGCUGGAUCACUACUGACGCUGACAACGAAAGCUAGGGGAGCAAACAGGAUUAGAUACCCUGGUAGUCCUAGCCCUAAACGAUCAGGACUUGGUGGUGUCACCCGUUCGGGUGACGUCCGGAGCUAACUGCGAUAAGUCUGCACCUUGGGGAGUACGUCGCAAGACUGAAACUCAAAGGAAUUGACGUGGGGGCCCGCACAAUC
rnacentral:rRNA from 1 species